UGCUGUGAGAAAUGACAGAUGGUACCAGGUCCCCACUGUGCUUGCGAAGGCUGCUGGGGUUCUCGGACACCACCAGCAAGCUGUUGUACACUAGAGCACAACAUGGUGAAGUCUGCCUAUCACAUUGGUCAUUUGUUCUGUAGACUGAUUUGACUCUCUAAUGGAGUGUGCCUUGAAUGCUGAGGUAAACCAAGUUGUUGUUCUUCCAAGGUGAUAUGUCAUAUGCUGUGGGAAAUGAUAGAUGGUACCAGGCCCCCAUUGUGCUUGCAAAGGCUGCUGAGGUUCUCGGACACCUAGAGCACAAGAUGGUGAAGUCUGCCUAUCACAUUGGUCAUUUGUUCUGUUGCCUAAUUUGACUCUCUAAUGGAGUGUGACUUGAAUGCUGAUGUAAAUCAAGGUCUUGUUCUUCCAAGGUGAUAUGUCAUAUGCGGUGGGAAAUGAUAGAUGAUAUCAGGACCCCACUAUGGCUGGCAAAGGCGGCUGAGGUUCUCGGACACCUCCAGCUGUAGUGCAGUAGAGCACAAUAUGGUGAAGUCUGCCUAUCCCAUUGGUCAUUUGUUCUGUAGCUUAAUUUGACUCUAAUGGAAUGUACCUUGAGUGCUGAGGUAAAACAACUUCUUGUUCUUCCAAAGUUGACAUGUCAUGCGCUGUGGCAAAUCAUGGAUGGUACCAGGUCCCCACUGUGCUUGCGAUGGCUGCUUGGGCUCUCGGAGACCUCCAGCUGUAGUACACUAGAGCACAAUAUGGUGAAGUCUGCCUAUCACAUUGGUGAUACGUCAUAUGCUGUGUCACGUUCCUGACCUACACUUCAGAAACUAGAAGGAUACCCAAGGUUCCUUGUUAUGACCCAUCUGCAGGGAUGGAGAUGUGCCUGGUGGUCCCAUUCAGCCGUCGAGAAUGCCGGAGAAAGCACUGACGCAUGAGUUUACGGCAGCAAUACUGACUGGACGACGCCAUAGACUGUUCGCCUCGGACAACGUGGUGUUUAAACAGCGCAACGACCUCUAUCCAUUGCAUCUGAAUCCUGAUCAAUCAAUCCUGGAAGGUGACCGCUCUUGGGCAUUCAACGGAGCUGUCAUGGAAUCGACGCAGCAAGCAACAGCUGCGGGGUGUGGCUGUACAUGACGACAUGUCACAUUAUCAUGGGCUAUUCGUACAUGACACACAAUCUACCGCGCAUAAAGAGUUUCCACUUUGGGGGUGGGGUGGUGGUGGUCUGUGGUUCCUCUAGAAGGCAUUUGUGCUUGCGUUCCUGCGGAGCUUUGUUUCGUGCUUCGGAGUUUGCGCUAUAUGGCCUAUUGUCCUGAUUGAUUUCGCGAUACUUUUCGUGGUACAUGGAAGGACACGGAUUUCCUUCUUGUAUUGACGAUCCUGUGGUAGGUGACGUCAUUUGCUUGACUCUCAUUCGUAGCAUGGACUUCUGGGGGUAUCUUCCUACUACGAUGGAAAGUUCCUAUUCUUGAAUGGUUGGUCUGGUUUUGGAGCAUUCGUUGAUCUGAAUAUUCGGGUAUGGCUGUAGUCUUGGCUGGUGGACGAAGCGAAAUGUAAGUUUCUGUGCGUGCGAGGGCUCUACUGGAUCCUGUUCAUUCUGAGCGGUGUACAUGGGUAUGCUCUUGUUAUAAUGAGGUGGUCCUCGCGACUGGUAAAGGCUUGCAAUGCUGAGCGAAAUUGCGAGGUCUGUUGACAUUACUUCAUACGAGACUGGAUUUUCAACUGCAUUCCAAUCUGGGUCAUUGAACGGUGGUGAGGCCUAAUUGUUUAGUGCUCUGCGAUUUCUGCAUUCACUCAUUCUUUCGUGCCCACAAAGGAGUUUCCAUUCAUAAACGCGCGCGUGCGUUCAUGUGGAUACGGGUUAGCUUUGUGUGUUACAUUACGAAGGACUUGCUUGUGUGUUUUUGUGAUUUUUGUCAAAAGUCAAGGAGACGUAUUUGUCGAAGUGUUGUAUGAACAUGUAUCACACCCUCAUUAUGUACUGUGCUACAAAUUUUAAUGAGGUCUAAAGACUGAUGUCCUGUGUCUCACCUUCGUGUAUUACGUAAACUCUGGAAAUAAAAGGAUCUCUAACGUGC